UCGUAAGGUUUUUGCACACUAUUUCAGUUAAUUUUCCCACAUUUACACAGAAUUUACAUGCUGUUCUGAACCCGUCACUGGCUUCAUCUGGAGUCAUUCUGUACCUCUGUGUGACAUUUUAUGUAAUAAUGUCUUUUGGUAAAAAUACAUGGCAUUAAAUUAAUGGAUGUCCUUUGUAAGUAUUUUUUGUCCUUAAGAAAUUACUUCAAUCGCUGAAGAAGUGGAAAAAGAGCACUUUCUAUACUUGUUAUCACUCAUUUUAGAAGUGAAGUAGUUACUGCCCAUUUGUGCACUCUGUCACAAUUUUGGAACUUCUGAAGGACUAAAUUCUAGGCUAAGUGCAGCAAACCUGUACAGCCCCCUUCUCAAACUGGAAUCAUAUGACUCAAACACUAACAUACAGAAAUGCUGAGAAGUUUCAACUGGUUCAUCUUCUUCCUUGCUGAUACUUUCCAUUACAGGUGUCACACCUACCAGUGUAGUGAAACUUCAGUGCCUGAUUUUUGACUGACAGCACUGUUUGUGAACAAGUUAAGCUUGUCAGCCUAUCUUCAUAAGGCUGAAAAGCGCUCUAAUGCAAAAAGUCUGCCUCCCACUCAGAACUGAACUGGCAGUUUUCUACAUGAACUCUGCUUUCCUUUGUUAAUUGCCUGUGAUUCACACCCACAUUUUCCAGAGAGUGAUGGCAUUUUAAUUGCUAGCGGUAUUUUAGGAUGGAGGAGAGGCAAUGGGAAGAGGCUUGGGAAAAAAGUGGGUAGGGGUUUGGCAUGUUCGUAAGGCUAACUGUUCUGUGAUUGCACACAGCCAGACCAGCAGCCAGAGCACCAUCUGUGCACACAGCUGAUCCAUCCCGCCCGGCUUCGGCACAAAGGAAUGUGUCAGCUCCCGCUUUUCCAGAGCAACUGAAAGCCUCCUUCAUGCUCCACUGAAAUUUUGCUACCAUUCCCUGAAGACCUAUUCCCUUCACCCUGCACGUCUGGCUGACACAGCCUUCCUUCAGCAAGAAGCUCUUUCUGCAGUGCUGUUUUUGCAGGUUGGAGUGGGGAAGAUUCAACUGCUCUUCAGCAUCACCUCCCUGUCAUGCAAGCUGCAGAAUGAUCAUCUCAGGGUCCUGGGGAAUGAAACUUGCUGAACCUUUUGACAUGGAAAACAGAUGCUGGACCUCACUGAAAAGAGUCAUUGCAUUUUAGGAACGAUGUGUUCAUACAUUCCCACACUCCAAAUAAUUGGUAAGUCUGUCAGAAGUCUUCAGAAAUCAGUCUGACAGGCACAUGCUACUUUGUCAAUGUACAUGAAUUUUCCUUACUACUAUGCUCCAAUUUACUCAUGUGGUAUGCAAGGUUCAUCAACACCAGCUGCUCUCUACUUAUCAUAACAUUAACAAGGCUCUUUCCAGACUUUGAUCCAAAGAGUGGAGGCUAAGCAGCAAAUCCAUUUAUGCAAUGAACCAAUUUCUGUCUAGUUAUCUGUCCUCAGGUCUGCCACCACUGUUCCAGGCACAGCCAGUUGCACGA
rnacentral:lncRNA from 13 species